rnacentral:rRNA from 1 species
UACGUAGGCAGCAAACGUUGUUCGGAAUUACUGGGCGUAAAGAGUGUGUAGGCGGUUCUGUAAGGUUGGGGUGAAAUCUCCCGGCUUAACUGGGAGGGUGCGCCGAAAACUGCAAGGCUUGAGUGCUGGAGAGGAUAGCGGAAUUCCUGGUGUAGCGGUGAAAUGCGUAGAUAUCAGGAGGAACACCGGCGGUGUAGACGGCUAUCUGGACAGUAACUGACGCUGAGGCAUGAAAGCGUGGGGAGCAAACAGG